GCUCCAAAAUAGUGGCUCGCUACCUGCGUGUGAGGCCACGCCCUUCUCUGUGCUAGCUACAGUAUAGUUACUGCUGAGCUACACGGCUGGACAGGGUCCGGUCGAAGCCCGGUGCCAUGCUGCUGGGGGCUGCUGCGGCCUGCGACGGAUGGCGGCUGUUGCUUCCGCUCCCUGAGGAGAUGCCGUCCUUGUGGCGCACAGGGCGGCUACCCACGGUUGCAGCCCGAUGGCUUCAUUCUCGGGACGCGGCCCGUUGGAUGUGCGACGACCGGCACCUUGCGACCGCUGCGGUGACCGGCAGCGGUGCCCCCUCUCCUGACUUGACAACGGACUACAUCUUCGUGCUGCCAUGGGGUGGCGCCACUGGUGGGACGAGCGCCACUGGUGGAGCAGGCGCCAUCUCUGAGGCGGUACAGCCGACCGGCUGGCUAACGGCGUCGAGCGCCUGAUGAAUGCUGCGCUGAGCGGCGAUACUGAUUCGCCGCUCUCGAACUGUCGAAGUCCCAGUGAGCUUGUUGGACAUGACUACGGGGCAGCCGACUAGACUUCAUUCUCGGCCGCGGCCCGUUGGAUGUGUGAUGACCGGCACCUUGCGACCGCUGCGGUGACCGGCAGCGGUGCCCCCUCUCCUGACUUGACAACGGGCUACAUCUUCAUGCUGCCAUGGGGUGGCGCCACUGGUGGGACGAGCGCCACUGGUGGAGCGGGCGCCACCUCUGUGGCGCUACUGCCGACCUUGGACCGGCGGGAUGACGGCGUCGAACGCCCGAUGACUGUGUGCUGGACGGCGAUACUGAGUCGCCGCUCUCCGGGCACCAUCCCCAUCGACCAAGGCCCGGCUGGUGCUUGGCGCCGGGUGCCGGAUGGCCGCUGCGCUCGGCGGCGGUGCUGGGUCGCCGCUCUCUGGAAUGACCGCUGACUCGUCUUUUUGAUCUCGUCUUUGUGUUACCGUCUGGUUAGGCACUGUCAAACUCCCCAAUAUAACCUUUAACACUAACUGUCCGUAUUCUAACAAAACUAACAUGUGAAUCCUUUCCGACCAAUCCCGUUUGACAGUGCCAUAAAUUAUGAAUUGUUCAAUGUGUGAUCCCAAAUCAUAAUCAAUAAACGGAACGGAACGGAA